rnacentral:rRNA from 1 species
GAUGAACGCUGGCGGCGUGCCUAAUACAUGCAAGUCGAACGAAACUUCUUUAUCACCGAGUGCUUGCACUCACCGAUAAAGAGUUGAGUGGCGAACGGGUGAGUAACACGUGGGCAACCUGCCCAAAAGAGGGGGAUAACACUUGGAGACAGGUGCUAAUACCGCAUAACCAUAGUUACCGCAUGGUAACUAUGUAAAAGGUGGCUAUACUACCGCUUUUGGAUGGGCCCGCGGCGCAUUAGCUAGUUGGUAGGGUAAAGGCUUACCAAGGCAAUGAUGCGUAGCCGAAUUGAGAGGUUGACCGGCCACAUUGGGACUGAGACACGGCCCAAACUCCUACGGGAGGCAGCAGUAGGGAAUCUUCCACAAUGGGCGAAAGCCUGAUGGAGCAACGCCGCGUGGGUGAAGAAGGUCUUCGGAUCGUAAAACCCUGUUGUUAGAGAAGAAAGUGCGUGAGAGUAACUGUUCACGUUUCGACGGUAUCUAACCAGAAAGCCACGGCUAACUACGUG